rnacentral:tRNA from 1 species
CGGGGUGUAGCGCAGUCCGGUUAGCGCGCCACGUUCGGGACGUAGAGGCCGUGGAUUCGAAUCCCGCCACCCCGA